CUAAAACUCACCUUAGACGGAAAAGUGAAUUUCCGGUGCUGUAAAUCGCCGAAAUUAGGGUUUCCGACGAAUAAUUCAAAACAAAUAACAAAAUAAAUUCUGAUAAUUCCAUAAAUCAUGGAAUACUGAAAUAUAAGUUUUAAAUAAGUGUUAGAAAGGAUAUGUGAGCAAAGAAUUGAGUUUUAAUGAGUUUUAGUACGUUUUUUUAGAAAAGUCGCCGAUUAGAGUUUUUCGGCGAAAUUGCCGAGAAAUAUUAGGAAUUUCCAUUGAAAAAUAAUGUAUAUGGAAUCUAGAGAUCAAAAUAAGUGUAAUGUGAGUAAGAUUGAGCAAGAAAUUAGAAUUAAAUCGGUGCUCGUAUAGGAAACGUGAUAGAAGGGCAACAUGGUCUUUCUAAAUGAAUUAAACUAAUUAAAUGUCCUAUACUAAAAGUGACGUUUUUUUUAAGUGUAUUAGGCAUGAGAUGACUUCAUUUUUUUAAGUGGGAAAAUAUAAAGAGAAUUCUAGACAAAUUAUAUAACAAGUGGCUUAAUAAAAAGGUGCCAAAUGGCAAAACCAUUUCCAUAUAAUAAAAUAAUUGAUGAAGACUACAUUAAAUAUAAAAAUUAUCUUCUUCUUCCUCAUAUUUUUCUAAGUAAAAAAACGUCCACCAUGGGGAAGGAGAAACCGUGAGGUCCCAAGUGAGAACAUCUCUAAUUUUCCGUCGAAACGUCGAUCCGAUAGCGUAAAACCUAAUAAAUCGAGCGAAGGAGCCUAUAGUGCGUUUUGGACACAAAAGGAAUAGACCUAGAAGAUAGCGAAAGGUAGGAAGGUGAAUUAGGCUUAUAUUCAUAAGCCUGCGAGGUUAGAGUCGAUACUAUGUCAGUGGUGUUACGCAGCUUUGCAUCUUUGGUGAGUCACUGGUGGUCAACUUGGUUUAGUAGUUGUGGCAUGUUGUGUAAUAGUUUAAUCUUUAACCUUCUGCUGGAUAAAUGUUAAGUUUUUAAAUGUAAUAGAUUUUAAUUGUGUUUAUAAGCUAAAAAGAAAAAGGAAAAUUUUAGCACGGUUUUUCGAUACUGAAACGUGACAUCACUUAUUCAGUGGGUUUACCUACCGGGUAAGGGGUGUUACAAGUUUUGGUAUCAGAGCCUAGGUUUAGGUGGUUCUGUAUAAAAGUGAGUUAAUAAAGUGUGUAGAAACAUGCCACAUAGGAAUAAAUGUCUGUUAGUACCGGUGACUCGAUGCCGCUGCCUAGGUCUGAAGUGGAAUGAAGUUAACAAAGUACGGGACAUAGUUUCCCGUGUGACCGAGAAAGAUGUUAUAUGGGACUGGCCACCCCAUAUAGCUCGAAUCUCGGUAGCGUCAGUGUGUGUAAAAGACUUAAAAAGUGCAGGGAGGGUGUGUCUGAAAAAAAAAAAUUAUAAAAAGUGUGUCCUAAUGAAAGAAUGAGAUUAGCCUCAAUUAUAUUAUUUGAUAAUAUGUCGAAAUAAGUAUGUUAGUAACGAUUAUAUGGAAAUAGUUGAAAGGAUAAGACAAAUGUGAAUACAUAAUGAUACGAAUCGAUAAUAUCAAUAAGAUAUGGAAUGAAAGUUCUAUUAUGUGGAAACAUUGAAUGAUAUGAAAGCAUACGAUGAUAAACAUUGAAAUGAAAAUGUAUGAAACUAUAGGGCACUAUACGAAUAAGAAAUAAAUGAUAUGAUUUGAAUUUGUGUGCCCUUGAAUGGGUUAUAUGUGUGCUCGAUAUCGAGCUAUGUGAUGUGAAUGGAAGUAUGAAUUCUGUAUGGAUUAUAUGUGUGCUCGGAAUUGUGCAAUAGGAAAUAUGAUGUGAUGUGAUGUGAUAGAGAUAUAAUCUAAGUAAGUGUACAUGAUAUAAAAAAAUGUGAUCUGAUUAGAAAUGUGAACUCCGUAAGAAUUAUGUGUGCGCUCGAAGACGAGCUAAGUGAAUAUGGAAAUUUAAAUUAGGAUUUAGAUAUGAAAUGGAAAAUGAAAAUGGGUGCUCUAAGUGAGCUAUAAUAUAUAUGAAAUGAUAUGUCUAAAAAUGUGAGUUUUAAAUGAAAUAAAUAUAUGAGUUUGAAAUUGAACUAUAUGAGGAAAAAGGGGUAUUAUGCUUGAAAGUAUGGAAUCCAGUGAAUCAUAUGUGUGUUUGGCAGAAUGUGAAAUGUAUUGAUGACCAAUACAUGGAAUUUGAAAAUGAAGGUGGUAUUUGACAUUUAUGUGAAUCGUUGUUGAUUAUUUGGGAGAUAUUGGAAUUUUGCAGUGGAUGAUUAAUUUGUCUGGAUGAUUUGUGUUUGAAUUUGAAUCAUGUUGGUUUUUGAGCAUGCUCCAUUUUAAGGGAAAUGCUGCCCAAUUUUUGUUAGAAACUAAUGGAACUUAUGCGAAAAUCUGUCGGAUAAUAAAAUUUAAAUACGUAUGCGAUAUAGUUUUGAUAAGUAUGCUUAUGUGUAUUAAUGAAUCUGUCACAUGAUGGAACCAAUAAUCUUAAUAUGAACUUAUGUGGCAUUAUAUGUGAAAGUUGGAUUAUGUGAUUAUAAGUGCAAUUUUGUGACUUGAUGUGGAAAAAUGAGGAUACGCUACGAAUAGGAAAUGACGUAAUGACAUGAAAUGGCAUAAGAGAAACCAUGACGCUUCUAGGAGUAAGCAAAUCCGAUGGAAUUUCGAGGACGAAAUUCUUUUUAGGGGGGUUGAAUUGUAAUGCCCUAAAACUCACCUUAGACGGAAAAGUGAAUUUCCGGUGCUGUAAAUCGCCGAAAUUAGGGUUUCCGACGAAUAAUUCAAAACAAAUAACAAAAUAAAUUCUGAUAAUUCCAUAAAUCAUGGAAUACUGAAAUAUAAGUUUUAAAUAAGUGUUAGAAAGGAUAUGUGAGCAAAGAAUUGAGUUUUAAUGAGUUUUAGUACGUUUUUUUAGAAAAGUCGCCGAUUAGAGUUUUUCGGCGAAAUUGCCGAGAAAUAUUAGGAAUUUCCAUUGAAAAAUAAUGUAUAUGGAAUCUAGAGAUCAAAAUAAGUGUAAUGUGAGUAAGAUUGAGCAAGAAAUUAGAAUUAAAUCGGUGCUCGUAUAGGAAACGUGAUAGAAGGGCAACAUGGUCUUUCUAAAUGAAUUAAACUAAUUAAAUGUCCUAUACUAAAAGUGACGUUUUUUUUAAGUGUAUUAGGCAUGAGAUGACUUCAUUUUUUUAAGUGGGAAAAUAUAAAGAGAAUUCUAGACAAAUUAUAUAACAAGUGGCUUAAUAAAAAGGUGCCAAAUGGCAAAACCAUUUCCAUAUAAUAAAAUAAUUGAUGAAGACUACAUUAAAUAUAAAAAUUAUCUUCUUCUUCCUCAUAUUUUUCUAAGUAAAAAAACGUCCACCAUGGGGAAGGAGAAACCGUGAGGUCCCAAGUGAGAACAUCUCUAAUUUUCCGUCGAAACGUCGAUCCGAUAGCGUAAAACCUAAUAAAUCGAGUUAGAGUCGAUACUAUGUCAGUGGUGUUACGCAGCUUUGCAUCUUUGGUGAGUCACUGGUGGUCAACUUGGUUUAGUAGUUGUGGCAUGUUGUGUAAUAGUUUAAUCUUUAACCUUCUGCUGGAUAAAUGUUAAGUUUUUAAAUGUAAUAGAUUUUAAUUGUGUUUAUAAGCUAAAAAGAAAAAGGAAAAUUUUAGCACGGUUUUUCGAUACUGAAACGUGACAUCACUUAUUCAGUGGGUUUACCUACCGGGUAAGGGGUGUUACAACGCCCCGUUUUCUAAACUUAAUUUGUGAACCUAAAUUACUUGUUUUAAUGGUAUUAACUCUGCGAAGUCCGUGAAUUGAUUGUUGGUAAUUAAUUGUUGUUAAUUGGGGAUUUGUGAAAUAAACGAUUAUGCGAAUUUAGAUAAUUCCUGUCCGUGAGGAAUAAUUAUUGGAUUCAAUUCCGUGUUGGAUUCGAUAAAUUAAAUAAAUAAUUAAAUAAAGGUCCAGUCCGUGAUAAAUAAAUGGACUGCACAAUUUAAAAUAAAAUACAACGGGCUGUGAAUUAAUCUAAACCAACUAAAAUAAAAUAUCUUUAAUUCAAGAUUUAAUUAAAGAUUUUACGUAGAUUUUCCUGCUCCGUGAUGGAAUUGUUCCUCCCCGUAACCUAUAAAUAAAAUACCAGAUAAAUUCAAGUAAAUCAGAAAGAGAAAAAAAAGGAAAGAAACCGAAACUCCCACUCCCCAACACACGAUGCUGCAACCGUCUCUCUCUCAUGAAUCUCUCCCCAAAUCUCUCCAAUCUCUCCACCAAAUCUACUACUCCUCUAUAAUACAGAUUUCACUCUUCGUUUCUUUCUUCCCAUCCCUGCAGCAAAACAGAACUUCUCUUCAAAUUCCUACUCAAGGACCGAGAAAGAGAAUCAAGCCACACACUCUUUUCCAUCCACUGCUAGUCUCCAUUACCAAUCUGACUAGAGAAACCAAGAGAAAGGAAGAUAGAAGUCACAAUCUCUAUUAUUUACAGCUUACCCGUCUCAGAUUAGUGAAGGU